UUUUUUUUCAUUAUAAUAUUUUUUAGUUUUAUGGUGUAACAUGAGCCUCAAAACAAGAAAGAAUUAAAAUUUAAUGCAUAUAUAAAUAAGUAUUGUUAAUUGCAGCUUAAUAAUGUGACUGAGAUAAAUUACUGGUAACUUCCCAUCAGAAUGACGUCAUCAAUCUUCAGU
rnacentral:ribozyme from 12 species